rnacentral:lncRNA from 1 species
AGAAACCGGUUAACAGGUCAAAUAACUCCAGAGAUUGGAAAUUUGCAGUCAUUGGAUUCUCUUGAUUUGUCAAGAAACCAGAUAGAUGGAAGAAUUCCGACAAGCCUUGCUCGGAUAGAUCGUCUUAGUUUCUUGGACCUGUCAUAUAACAACUUGUCUGGCAAAAUACCAACAGGCACUCAGCUCCAAAGCUUUGAUCCCCUUGAUUAUGCUGAAAAUCCUCAACUAUGUGGACCUCCACUUAAAAAGAUGUGUGCUGAUCAAAAUGAGCCAUUGAGCAAUGAAGAGGAUAAGGAUGAGUUUAUAACACUGGGAUUUUACAUCAGUAUGGGGAUUGGAUUUGCUGCUGGAUUUUGGGGAGUUUGCGGCACUUUGAUAUUCAAUAGGUCAUGGAGAUAUGCAUACUUGAAGUUCUUGAAUGGUUUAAAUGAUUGGCUCUAUGUGAAGAUAGCUUUGAGCAAGCGGCAACUAAAGCUAGCAUAUGCUUAGUAGAUAAGCUCGCAACGGUACUCUCUCAUUCAUCAUUAAUUUUGUUUUAUAAUUAUUUUUCUUAUUGCAUUUUUUCCUUUUCUCCAUACUGACGGGUAUUAGUUUGUUUACUUUGAUAUUUAGCUGCAGCAUCUAAAUUAGGAGAAAAGUAGUUGUAGCUGAAUGCCUUCUUUCAGUUCAAGUGUGGAAGAUUGCCAGUAGCCGCACGCACAAGUAUCUGGAGAAGAGUUUACGAGUUAAUUUGGAGUGCUUAGUAGGAAUAAAUAUUAUUCAUAUUAGUGUUAAUUACUUGUCAGAAUAAUUAAUUCGGAAUUCUCCAAUUAAUGUUUUUUAAUAUAUUUGUUAUAGAGAAAUAAACAGAUCCAUUUUAAUCCAAGCUCACUCCGAUUAAUGUAUUAAUUCCAGCUAUAGUGUUAUUUUAAUUAACUAAGUUAAAGCCAAAGCAGACUUGAUUUCAAGUUACAAUGUGUGGCUCUGUUUUGGUCAUCUAUUUGCAACGUACAGCUUCUCCUGUUUUGGUCAUUCUUUCCUUUCAUAAUUCAAUAUCCUGUUCUGGGCACAUGGUAGAAGAUGCCUUUUUGUAAACAGACUUUUUGUAUUUGGUCAGGCUUGCAAUGCUCUAUUUUGUGGAUUUUAAGAUUGUAUUAGGCUUACUUGUGAGCUGCAAAAUGCCUUGUACCAACGUUUAUGUAUAAAAUGUGUGCUAAAUGAGUGUAGAGUACAAGAUUGAAGGUCUUCCUGGAAAAGCAAUCACAAGCAUUUUCUCUCUUUUCAAUUUGUAGAAAUGUUCAAGUUCUUGCCCAUUGCUCGCAGAUAUAUAGUAUUGUGUAGCAUAAAGGCUCCAACAUAUGCAAUUCCAUCAAGGCCUGCAGGCCAAUCACUGCUGUCUCUUGGUUAUUACAAACAUUUGUAGAGCCAUAAUGAAAACUUGGUAGGCAAACCCAAAUACUCGCAUUGACCAUUUGCAUAAACUUGAUAGGCUAGCAAGGGGCUUGUAGCUCAAGCGGUUAAGAGCAUCUAUCCCUACACUCGAGGUCCUAGAUGUGAUUACCUCGUCCCAAUAUCGCUUGUAACCAAAAACAAACAAAAAACUAGAUAGGCCAGACCCAGAUGAACCUGGUUUUCAUAAACUUGUUGGUCAGCUUGACGGUGGCUUAUUAGAAGUCCAAAUUGGUUGAGAAAGUAAUGUCCACCAAUUUUAGCAGAUACCCUUUUGGAUAAUUUUGAACAGAGCACUUAAUUGUUAAUGACUAGGGCCCCAAGGGUAAGUUCUAGGUAUGUUACCUUAGGCCUAAAAUAACCCUUUUGUUGUGAUGAUCUUUAAAGGGUGACCAAGAACGUACAAAAUUUUGUUCAUUAAACCAUAUUGUAGAGGCUAUCGAAAGUUUGCCUGCACCUCCAGAAAUCAAGGAUCCAUCGCAGAGGCACAGAGGAGAUGUUAGUUACUUUAUUUGCACAAGACCUGGGAGAGGUCCAGUUGUGCUGUCAGAUGAAAGUCAAUUUCUUCUCGACCCUGAAACUGGGUUGAAGAAGUAAGUUCAGAAGCAUUAUCUUUCUUUCACGGUGUUCUGUUCCUUCUCAGGCCAAUUCAAAUGGCUGUAUGAGCCAGAAGUAAUUCGUUUCGGAUGAUCCUUUUAGGCUGAACCCAAGAAAUGCCUUAAAAUGAUUAUCUGAGUUCAUCGCAGUUGGACAGUUUCUGUUGCUUGUUUCAUGUAUCUGUAACUUGCUUUUUGCUGUUUUAAGCCAAUUAUGGUCUUUGUACUCAUUGUCUUCAGCUUCUCGUGAUCUUUUGGCAGCAUCGCCUGCAACUUCUCUAUCUCUCUUUCUCAAUCUCGUCAAGCAUUUGAACAUAAUGGCCAAAUUUCAUUGUAAAUUAAUUACGUGCCACAGCAUGUCAUGAUGAAAUAAACAGCAGUGAUUGGUGCAGUAAACCCUUUUAAUGGUUCCAUAUAUCAGUCUGGUCUUUCAUAAUCUUUUCUAUGAUGAUAGAAUGCAGCAGGUUUCAAUAUUUUCUGCAUGAUACAUUAACAUCUUCAUUUUCAAUGUGAUAAUGUUAUGUUCAUUGCUUUAAAAGAAAUGAAACUUCCCCAUUUUGAAAGAAAUGAAACUUCCCCAUCUUCAUUUUAGAUGUUUUUUUAAUGACUUUUUUUGUGCUACCAGGAGCAGAAACUGAGUGGGGAAAUUUGAUUAAAAGACCAUUCAUUCGGGUUCCUGAGAUUGGAAAUGGGAAGUCUUUUCCUUACUCGAUUUCAAAUCUAUGUUUGGAACAGCUAGCCAAUAUGCUACUGAAACCUCAACUUCUUAAUCAUGCUGGAACUUUAGCUGCUCUACAAACUAGCCCACGGCCUAUGCAGCCGCCUUUGGAAUCAUUACUUUACCACUCCCAACAAACUGAUAUGCCUCAUUCAGAUUUCAAUAGCAGAAAUGGUUCGCUUCCAUUCCUAGACAAUGAUGAAUGCAUAUUUUUCCAGUCUUGUCAACCCUUUGCUGGGUGUUGAAAUAUAAGUAGUCAGCUGAUAGAAAAUGUAACUAAACCUAUUUAGCUAAUGGUGUAUUCACUUAGUCACUAAAAUGACAGGUGUUAGGCUUGAGUAGUGAAAGGCUGUACAAGCCACGUGUAAUGUUUCUAGAAAGCAGUUUUAGAUGAAGGGCUGUGAUACAAAGCAUGUAAUUGUAUCCAGCUGGUCUUUCUAACUAAAAUAUAGCACACACAGAGUCUGCUCUUUUCGAUUAGAGUAUUGAAAUACAAAGCUUCUGUUGAAUCGAUUCUUUGUGUAUUCUCUUUGCUCUCUCCACUAUUCUUCACAAAACUCGAACAUGGCCUCAGAGCCAGGUUGGAUCAUUUAGAUCUAGGCGUAAUCUGUGAAGUCACUGAGCUCAAUUGAAGCUCACCUGAAGCUCUGUUAAGCAUCUGAGAAGAGAAAUUAAUUGAUUUGAACCAAAAGAUGUCUGGGUCUGGAGGCUCGGAGGUGAGGACGCCAAUUUUCUCCGGUGAGAACUACGAGUUCUGGAGGAUUAAGAUGGUAACGGUUUUCAAAUCUCUUGGACUAUGAAGUCUGGUAGAAAAGGGGAUUCCAACCCUGAUUCGAAGAAGAAGAAGAAAGCUGAAGAGUCAUCGGAAGAAGAAGCUGAUGCAGAGAUGAUCGUUGUGCUCAUGAAGGAUUGCCAACGCCGACUCAGCCAAAAUGGCAUGGAAUCUGCUCUAUAGUGAAUAUCACGGUGGUGAUCAGAUCAGGUCAGUGAAACUUCAAAAUCUCAGAAGUGAAUUUGAAUCUAUGAGAAUGCGUGAGAAUGAACCUCUAACUGCAUAUCUCACCCGGUUGAAUGAAUUGAUAAAUCAAAUGAAAACAUUUGGAGAAGUGCUAUCAAAUGAAAGGCUGGUUCAGAAAGUGUUAAUUAGUCUUAGUAAAGUAUAUGACCCUAUCUGCUUAGUGAUUGAAAAUACAAAGAGUUUGGAGACUAUUGAAUUGCAGGAGGUCAUUGCAAUUUUGAAGAGCCAAGAGCAGCGUUUUGACAUGCAUAAUGUGGACACAGCUGAGAAGGCAUUUGGCUCUUUCUCAGUCAAUACACAAGGGCAGAACAAGAAUAGUACUCAAACUGGUUCUGCUAAGUCUCAGAAAAAUUGGAAGUCUAACAACAAACCAUGGGAGUCUAGACCUAAGCCACAACAAGCUGGUGCUGCACAGAACUCAAAUGGAUCACAAUAUGUGCAUCAAGAUGGAGUGAAGCCUCAAUGCAAAGUAUGCUCUAAAUUUCAUUUUGGAGAAUGUCGAUAUAAGGGUCAAUCUAAGUGCUAUAAGUGUGAUAGAUUUGGACAUUAGGCUAGGGACUGUACUGCAAACAAAGGAGUACAGAAAGCAAAUAAUGUAAGCCAAGUAGAAGUAAGGGGAAAUUUGUUUUAUGCAAACUGUGCAAUCUCAGAGAAGAGUGAAAAUGGAGAGUAGUAUAUAGACAGUGGUUGUAGUAACCAUAUGACUGGGAACAAGGAGCUGUUAAUUGACAUAAACACAAAUGUCACAGGCAAGGUGCAAAUGCCAACAGGGGAGCUUGUAGGUAUAACUGGUAUGGGCACUUUAGUACUUGACACAGGGUCUGGUACAAAGUAUAUCAAAGAAGUCAUGUAUUUGCCUGGUUUGAAAGAAAAUCUGUUGAGUGUAGGCCAAAUGGAUGAACAUGGUUAUCAUUUGGUGUUUGGAAGCAGCAUGUGCAAUAUUUUUGAUGAUUAUUCACUGGAGAAUCUUGUCAUGAAGGUGGCAAUGAGAAAGAACAUAUGCUAUCCAUUGUCACUAUCUUCAAAUGACUUUAUUGCACUAAGAGCUAGUGUGUCUCCAUCUACCUGGAUUUGGCACAAAAGAAUGGGGCAUUUACAUUUAAAAGGGCUAAACCAGCUCAAGGAAAAGGAGAUGGUGCAUGGUUUGCCGCAUUUGGAAGCUGCAAAUGGAGUCUGUGAAGGCUCAGUUUGGGAAACAACAUAGAGAAUGGUUUCUAAAGAACCAAGCAUGGAGGGCAAGUACUCCUUUUGAGUUAAUAUACAUGGACUUGUGUGGGCCUAUGCAAAAUGAGUCAGUUGCAGGUAACAAAUACUUCAUGCUUCUCAUAGAUGACUGCACAAGAAUGAUUUGGGUCUAUUUCCUUAGAUACAAGUCUGAUUCACUAAAUUGCUUUAGAAAGUUUAAGUCUAUGGUAGAGCUGCAGAGUGGUUUUAAAGUAAAAUGUGUAAGAAGUGAUAAAGGAGGAGAGUUUACAUCUAGUGAAUUCGAUAAGCUGUGUGAAGAGGCAGGAAUUCAAAGGCACUUUUCUAUGGCAUAUACUCCACAACAGAAUGGAGUGGUAGAAAGGAAGAAUAGGACGGUGGUAGAAAUGGCAAAGGCUAUGUUACAUGAGAAGGAGCUACCCUACUAUCUGUGGACAGAAGUUGUACACACUGCCGUGUACAUAUUGAAUAGAUGUCCUACCAAGGCACUCAGAAACAAAACUCCUUUUGAAGCUUAUAGUACAAGGAAACCAGGUGUUGCUCAUUUAAAAGUGUUUGGCAGCGUCUGCUUUGUACAUAAACCAGCUGAAGGGAGACAGAAAUUGGAUGCCAAGAGCACAAAGGGAGUGUUUGUUGGUUAUGCGACUUGUGAAAAGGGUUAUAGAGUUUUUGACCCUUUCACUAAGAAGCUCUUAUUGUCAAGAGAUGUUGUAUUUGAUGAAGGAGCAACCUGGAAUUGGAAGGAAGUGGCUGAGAAUCAAGUGCAAGUGAUGAACUAUGAAGAGCAGCCUAGGAAUUCUGAAGCAACACCAUUUGAAACAUCUGUAGGAAAUCAGAAUCAUGGUUUCAUGUCAGGAGAAAGUGUUUCACAAGGAUAAUCAAAUAAAAUAGGCAGCAGAGUAGAAGACACUCAAAGUUUUGAUCAUACUCCAUUGAAAUGGAGAAAGCUGGAUGAUAUUUUAGCACAAUGCAAUCUGUGCAUUAUGGAGCCUAAGAAAUUUGAUGAAGCUGUAAAGGAUGAGUCAUGGAUAAAGGCAAUGAAAGAUGAGUUGUCAAUGAUAGAGAAGAAUGCUACAUGGGAGCUUGUUGACAGACCUACGGAAAAACCAGUUAUUGGAGUUAAAUGGGUGUUUAAAACCAAGUUAAAUCUGGACGGUUCAGUGCAGAAAAAUAAGGCAAGGUUAGUGGCUAAAGGAUACUCUCAGAAACCAGGGGUAGACUACAAUGAAACAUUUGCACCUGUGGCUAGAUUAGACACAAUCCGAACUCUAAUUGCAUUAACAGCACAGAAGAGUUGGAAGCUGUACCAAUUAGAUGUUAAGUCAGCUUUUCUAAAUGGCAUCUUAGAAGAAGAAGUGUAUAUAGAUCAGCCGGAGGGAUUUGUGGUGAAGGGGAGUGAAAGCAAGGUUUACAAGCUGCACAAAGCUCUAUAUGGCUUGAAAUAGGCACCAAGAGCUUGGUAUAGUGAAAUUGAUGGUUAUUUUGCUGAGUGUGGUUUCACAAAGAGUCAAAGUGAGGCUACCCUUCAUGUCAAGACAAGAGGUGAAGCAAGCAUCCUGAUAGUGUCUAUCUAUGUAGAUGACAUAGUCUACACUGGAAAUAACCAAGCAAUGUUGGAAGAAUUCAAGCAAGAUAUGAUGGAGAAAUAUGAGAUGACAGAUUUGGGACUCUUGCACCAUUUUUUGGGGAUGGGAGUGACUGUAAACCUGUGGCUAUCCUUCUUGUUCCAACUGAAAAAUUAAGUAAGGAUGAUGGGAGUGGUUCCACAAAUGAGGAGCAAUAUAGAAAGAUCGUUGGAAGUCUGCUGUAUCUCACAGCUACAAGACCUGAUAUUAUGUUUGCAACUAGCUUGCUUGCAAGGUUUAUGCACUGCCCCACCACCAAACAUCUUGGAACAGCAAAACGGGUUCUUAGAUAUGUGAAAGGAACACUUGACUAUGGUCUGGAGUAUGUGAAGGGAAAAGAGGCAGUUCUAAUUAGCUAUUGUGACAGUGACUGGAAUGGCUCAGUGGAUGAUAGCAAGAGCACUUCUGGAUAUGCAUUUUCUUUUGGAAGUGGAGUGUUUGCUUGGGCUUCAGUCAAACAGAACUGCGUUGCACUCUCUACUGCAGAGGUAGAAUACAUUAGUGCCUCUGAAGCAACAACACAAGCUAUUUGGUUGAGAUAUGUUUUGGAAGAUUUCGGAGAAUUUCAAACAGAGGCCAUACCACUAGACUGUGAUAGCAUCUCAGCUAUUGCCAUUACAAAGAACCUUGUGUUCCACCAGAAAACCAAGCAUAUUGAUCGAAGGUACCAUUUUAUUAAAGAUGCUUUGCAAGAAGGAAUUGUGGAUUUGAUCUAUUGUCCUACGAAUGAGCAGCUAGCAGACAUUUUUACAAAGGCUCUAGCUAAAGAUCGUUUAUGCUAUCUUAGAGAGAAGCUCGGUGUGAAAUCAGCUCACAACUUAAAGGGGAGUGUUGAAAUAUAAGUAGUCAACUGAUAGAAAAUGUAACUAAACCUAUUUAGCUAAUGGUGUAUUCACUUAGUCACUAAAAUGACAGGUGUUAGGCUUGAGUAGUGAAAGGCUGUACAAGCCACGUGUAAUGUUUCUAGAAAGCAAUUUUAGAUGAAGGGCUGUGAUACAAAGCAUGUAAUUGUAUCCAGCUGGUCUUUCUAACUAAAAUAUAGCACACACAGAGUCUGCUCUUUUCGAUUAGAGUAUUAAAAUACAAAGCUUCUGUUCAAUCGAUUCUUCGUGUAUUCUCUUUGCUCUCUCCACUAUUCUUCACAAAAACACUGGGACACUUAGAUCACUGGGGCUUUUGUCUGUGUUUGAUUUGCAAGAUUCUUCAGCUGCAGCUCACUUCAUCCCAUCGAGAUCCAGGUAGCCUUAAUUGUAUUUCUAACUCAAGCAGUCUGAGACAUUUCUCAGAUGAGAGCAACAAUCAAAGUGGGACUGGAUGAGAUUUCUACACUAAAGAAAGCAGAUUUUCACAACCCCUCAGAUUGCUUGGUUGGUAACCUGAGCUCGAGCCAGGAUCUUCAGUCUCAGUGUACCUCUGCCAGCCUAGGCGACUCCCAGGCUUUCUCCAGGCAAUACCUGGCAGACAACUCAGGUUUGCAACUAGGAUGCAUUGUUGAGGUGUUUCUCGCUUGAUGGUGCCUGAUAUAUUGAUCUUAUUGUGCAUUCAGAAAACUCAAGCUAUCUUAGUUGAUCUUAUUGUACAACAUUUGUGUUUGAUGUACUUCCGGUCUCUGAAAGAGGUUAUAAAACUAAAUGGUUUAUUUAUCCAUACUUUUCCUGGCUUAAAAAGCCUGAGGCCACAGAAUUGAAAUUACCAGUACAAAGAUAUUUGAUAACUGAUUCUUCAACUUCUUGGAGGAAAACCCAGACCAUGCUAACAAGCUAGGAUCAGAGAAGGUCAUACAUAUUUGGAUGCUAAAAUACAUCAAAUAUUGAAUGCCUUAAUACAUUCAAGAAUACACUAUGAUUCUUUCAUUUCCUAACAAGUCAUUGUCCAGAGAACAGAACAGCUAAUAUCUCCUAAAAUAGAAAUCAAGAAAUAAAGUAGCUUUUAAAUUACAAAACAGAUUCUACCUCCAGCUUGCUUGCAGUCAGGAAAAUAAGCAAUUGAUGACGCCCUUAUUGCGACCUUGAAGGAAUUUCAUGAAGAUGUUAAAAAGUAAUUAAGCCACACAAAUUUUGUGCACUUAAUGUCAAAAAUUAGCUCAAGUAAUUACAAGAUAUUCACAUUGAAUCCAUACAGAAAAACCAAAAGCAGCAGAUGAUACACACAUCAAGCACGUCUCUUACGAAGAUGCCAAGAGUUAGGUUCAUGGUAUCUAUCAUAUAGCAGUUCAAUAUGUUCUUGAUGCUUGCGCUUGCUCAUCUUGGUGGGAUCUGCCACUUUGAAGAACCUGUGCCAGUUCCACGAGCCAUUGGGGUCGACGACCGUCACCUCGCGCAUGUACUCCUUUGUGGUCAUAACCAGCUCAUGGUAGAUCACCCAAGCUGGUUGUCUCUGGAAGACGGCGCUGCUUGGGUGUAUAUAAACAGGUUGGUUCUCCACUAGGGUUUUAUACACAAACUUAUGCUAGGUUUUUAUACACAAACUUAUCCUAGAGCUUACAUUGGCAUGUCAAUCAAUGAAAACUGUUAAAGGCGAUGGUAGGAUGUGUAAUAUGCCAUCUGAAUUUCCAUAUCAACUUUUAAAACAGUUUUGCCAAGAAAAACAAUUGCGGUAUCAAAAUGCCUAACAUGUCCGCACAAGAGAGCCCAUUUGAAGAGCAUAUACUGGCAAUUUAGCUAUACACAAAAGAGUAGCUAUAAUUUAUAAAGAUACUAUACUUAACCACUGAAAAAAUGGUGGAAAAAAGCACUUCUGCUAAUAAUGCUCUGAAAACAGUGUAUGUAGUAACAUCAACAUGACAACUCGUAAUGACCUAUUCGCUGCUCAGGUACCAUAUAUCUAGAUUUUAAAACCCAAACUAGGCCUGAACAACAUUUCAACAUUUCCAUCAAGUACAGACAGCAAAAGGCAUGCCUAAUCCACGACUACUGCAAAAAUACAAUGUACCAAACAUGAGCAAACCUAGAACAUUAAUCUACAUCUUUUAAAACCAUUCAUGCACAUGUGAAACCAGAAAAAAAGAUGCAUGCAACCAUGAAUAACAACGCUUUUUCCGGAAAAAUUCCCAUGACAAUAGGCUCUUUAUUUCAAAUGCAAACUUUGAAAUUAAGAAGUAACCAAUUUGUUGGAGAAUUGCCUUCAUCGUUGAAGAACUGCGCAAGUUUAGAAGUUAUUGAUCUGGGAUACAAUAAAUUAUCAGGACCAAUACCUACAUGGUUAGGCGUGAGCUUCAAGAAUUUGGUUGUCCUGAUGCUUUCCACCAAUCAAUUCAAUGGAAGCAUGCCCUCACAAUUAUGCCAUCUAACACACAUUCAAAUUAUGGAUUUCUCUAUGAACAACAUCUCUGGAAGCAUACCCAAAUGCCUCAACAAUUUGACUACUCUGGCUCAAAAAGGAAAUCCAAGUCUAUCCAGCACACAUUCUUAUAUCAGAGUUAUGGUAAUAACACAGCUGCUGGUGCUAAUUAUGAGGAUGAUGCAAGCUUCAUAUGGAAAGGAAGAAUGCAGACAUACAAAAGCACUUUGGGACUUGUGAAGAGAAUUGAUCUCUCAAGCAAUAGAUUAACAGGGGAGAUUCCAAGUGAAAUCACUCAUCUUGUUGAGUUGAUUUCUUUAAACCUUUCAAGAAACCGGUUAACAGGUCAAAUAACUCCAGAGAUUGGAAAUUUGCAGUCAUUGGAUUCUCUUGAUUUGUCAAGAAACCGGAUAGAUGGAAGAAUUCCGACAAGCCUUGCUCGGAUAGAUCGUCUUAGUUUCUUGGACUUGUCAUAUAACAACUUGUCUGGCAAAAUACCAACAGGCACUCAGCUCCAAAGCUUUGAUCCCCUUGAUUAUGCUGAAAAUCCUCUACUAUGUGGACCUCCACUUAAAAAGAUGUGUGCUGAUCAAAAUGAGCAAACUGGCUUGAGCAAUGAAGAGGAUA